rnacentral:rRNA from 1 species
UACGUAGGGUGCAAGCGUUAUUCGGAAUUACUGGGCGUAAAGCGUGUGCAGGCGGCUUUGCAAGUCAGAUGUGAAAUCCCCGGGCUUAACCUGGGAACUGCAUUUGUGACUGCAUGACUGGAGUGCGGCAGAGGGGGAUGGAAUUCCGCGUGUAGCAGUGAAAUGCGUAGAUAUGCGGAGGAACACCGAUGGCGAAGGCAAUCCCCUGGGCCUGCACUGACGCUAAUGCACGAAAGCGUGGGGAGCAAACAGG